rnacentral:rRNA from 1 species
UACGUAGGGUGCGAGCGUUAAUCGGAAUUACUGGGCGUAAAGGGUGCGCAGGCGGCGUCGCAAGUCAGGCGUGAAAUCCCCGGGCUUAACCUGGGAACUGCACUUGAAACUACGAUGCUGGAGUAUGGCAGAGGGAGGUGGAAUUCCACGUGUAGCGGUGAAAUGCGUAGAGAUGUGGAGGAACACCGAUGGCGAAGGCAGCACACUGGCACAUUCCUGACACUGAGACACUAAAGCGUGGGUAGCGAAUGGG